rnacentral:rRNA from 1 species
CCUACGGAGGGCAGCAGUAGGGAAUAUUGCUCAAUGGGGGAAACCCUGAAGCAGCAACGCCGCGUGGAGGAUGAAGGUUUUCGGAUUGUAAACUCCUUUUGUUAGAGAAGAUAAUGACGGUAUCUAACGAAUAAGCACCGGCUAACUCCGUGCCAGCAGCCGCGGUAAUACGGAGGGUGCAAGCGUUACUCGGAAUCACUGGGCGUAAAGAGCGCGUAGGCGGGAUAGCAAGUCAGAUGUGAAAUCCUAUGGCUUAACCAUAGAACUGCAUUUGAAACUGUUAUUCUAGAGUAUGGGAGAGGUAGGUGGAAUUCUUGGUGUAGGGGUAAAAUCCGUAGAGAUCAAGAGGAAUACUCAUUGCGAAGGCGACCUGCUAGAACAUAACUGACGCUGAUGCGCGAAAGCGUGGGUAGCAAACAGGAUUAGAUACCCCAGUAGUC